rnacentral:rRNA from 1 species
AACGAACGCUGGCGGCGUGCUUAAUACAUGCAAGUCGAACGUGAUACUGUAGCAAUACAGUUGAAAGUGGCGAACGGGUGAGUAACACGUAAACAAUCUACCUCUAAGUUUGGGAUAACCUUGCCAACGCGGGGCUAAUACCGGAUGUGAUCAUUGGGACGCAUGUUUUGAUGAUUAAAGGAGUGAUUCGCUUAGAGAUGAGUUUGCGGCCCAUUAGAUAGUUGGUAGGGUAAUGGCCUACCAAGUCAGCGAUGGGUAGCCGGCCUGAGAGGGUGUACGGCCACAUUGGGACUGAGAUACGGCCCAGACACCUACGGGUGGCUG